AGUGGCAGCCAUUGUAAAUAAGUU
rnacentral:siRNA from 1 species